AAGAAGUCAUCGUACAAAAUUGCAUGACUUUCUGAUAAGCAACUUGUUAGGUAUAAAGCAUAAGAGAGGCCAACAUACAUGCAGAAUUUUGUAACCGGUUCUGUGCAUGUUUGUAGCUCAGGAUAUUUCAAAACGUCGAGAAAUGCAAAAAAAUCAGCUAGGUUAAAUUUGUACCGGUAGCAACAGUUCUCCUGUGUUGUAUUCAGUAACAAUCAGUAAAUGUCUCGAUUCGUUUGAAAAUAAACAACUGCUGCAUCUACUCGGCAAUUUCUUUCAGUUACGAUAAGGUAUUCCUUCGGAUAAACUAACAAUGUCAACAACCACUACGAUAAUCUUCCAAGAUACCUCGAAUCCUGACGUCGAUCAACAAAUUUGGCGGUUAGAUCUUUCAAGAUAAGGUAUUCCCACGCCUAAUUAAAACUAACAUCAACAAUCGUCGUAAUAAUAUAUCACAAGUAAAAAGCCUCGAAAUCGAGUCACGAUAUCGGUGAAAGAUUUGGCGGCCAAAUUUCUUCCAACUAUCGAGCCUCGAUCUGCCACGAUCGAAAUACAAGAGAAACUGUAAAUUUUCACUUUCGCCAAAUCCGUAUACGUGACAGACGUGUUUUCGGUUUGCAUCAAAGCUAAGAGGAAAAAAAAAUACAUGGGAAGGAAACACGUAUCCCAGGAUUCGAUGACAGUGAACAUAGACGGUGAAGUUUGACGAUUCUCAAUGAAAUAGUUAAAGA